CACGGGGGGAGCAAGCGUUGUUCGGAAUCACUGGGCGUAAAGGGCGUGUAGGCGGUCAGGUAAGUGGAAUGUGAAAGCCCUCGGCUCACCCGAGGAUCUGCAUUCCAAACUGCCUGGCUUGAGUAUGGGAGAGGAUGAGGGAAUUCCUGGUGUAGCGGUGAGAUGCGUAGAUAUCAGGAGGAACACCGGUGGCGAAGGCGCUCAUCUGGCCCAAUACUGACGCUGAGGCGCGAAAGCUAGGGGAGCAAACGGG
rnacentral:rRNA from 1 species